GUUGUGGGGCAGGACUGAAGUCCAAGAAACUCUCAGGAGUCAAGCUGCCUAACGCGGUCACCCAUCCCAGGACUCUCUGCGCUCAAUGUUGCUUAAUUUCAAAUGAUUUAUGAUUUAAAUGUCAA